UACGGAGGGUGCAAGCGUUGUUCGGAAUUACUGGGUGUAAAGCGCGCGUAGGCGGUUUGCUAAGUCAGAUGUGAAAGCCCUCGGCUUAACCGGGGACGUGCAUUUGAAACUGGCAGACUUGAGUACUGGAGGGGGUGGUGGAAUUCCCGGUGUAGAGGUGAAAUUCGUAGAUAUCGGGAGGAAUACCGGUGGCGAAGGCGACCACCUGGCCAGAUACUGACGCUGAGGUGCGAAAGCGUGGGGAGCAAACAGG
rnacentral:rRNA from 1 species